CUGAUGGUGUCCAGGUCAGACUGGUUCCGACCUAAGAACGGGACCGCGCGGGGUUCGCGCUGGGUCCGACUGAAAGCGGGCUGGGUCCGGUGUGUGGCCUCCGGUGAAUAAAAGUUUACCUGAAGACUGAACAGAGGUUAUACCAGAGACGGUCUCGAAUGACAGUGGCCACAGUGGAGAGCGUUUAAGCUAGAAAAGCGUGUGCAUUCAGGAGGGGCCUUGAGAAAGAGGGGCCUCAGCCAGGCACUCAUAUAAAGAGCUGAGGGAAAAUUAUUUUUCCUCCUCUGUGGUUUCUGGUGACCAAGUGAGACCCCCUGGGACACGCCGCUCACUCCUCAGCCUGCGGACGGCAUCCGGGGAAAACUGGCGAAGCAACGAAGGUAAGAACUCCUGCCGAAGUCUCAGAGCCCUGUCCGUGAGACACGAGAGGAAAUGCCAGAUCAGCUCCAUGUGGAAACACGAGCAGACCUAUCUCAAGGUACCACCUUCGCCUGACAUGAACUGUCAGAAUUGCAGACAUGCUGAGUAAAUCCAACCCCUUCAUACUGAUGUCUUCUGGAUUGUCCUGGUCUCUUACCCUCUGUCCCAAAGAUCUAACAGCAAUAAUUUUAUGCUGAACAACAAAUUAUAUGAGAAGGGAAACUAAGAAAAACAGAGAAGUAGAAGACUUGCAAUUGAGCAUUGUAAGUAACACCCGAGUACCGGUUACUACAGCCUAAAAACUCCAUGAGGACUGAGGCUGUGACAGCCUUUCACUGCUGUAUCCUCAGUAGUUCAUAGAAGACAUUUAAUAAACAGCUGUUGAAAGAAUAAACUGCAAGAAAACAACUGCCACUUUUUUGCUAGUUAUUUAAAACACUUCUUCAGUUUACAAGAGAUGGACUUAGAGAAAAGUUGAGGGCUCUUAUCAGAAGACGCAUUCUAACCAGCCAGUCUGUACACACCCACAAGCUGUGCGGGACCGAUUUUGUGCCUGUUAUUCCUGUGCCAGAGCAAUUCUCACUUAAAGAUGCGCUUAUGGUAUCAAAUGUGAAAAAUAAAUUAUUAAAAAUUAAUAGUUGUAUAAAGUUCUGUUUUCCAGUAACAUACUCUCCCCAUUUGAUGCUAUUUUAAAAAGGAAAACCACUUUACUGACAGUGACAGUGAGAGGUGGUUGUCCUGUGUCAAGAUCACAAUUCAGUAGUUGAUCAAGGACU